rnacentral:snRNA from 1 species
GGGUGUGAGGGUGAUCUGGCUGAAACAUCUGUCACCCAUUGAUCUCCAGACUGGCUUCUUGGGUUCUGGCUGGCAAGGCUGGGUCUCCUUCCUCCCUUACCUCUCAGUAUAUCUCUUCUUGAGCUGCACACUGUCAAAGAAGGCUGCCUUCCACAGUAGGGUGAGCUGUUCUUCAGAAAAGAGGAUACUUUUCUGAAAUAACUCCACUUAAUUCAAGAACCCUUUAAAACCAGGUGCGGUGGUGUAAUCCUGUAAUC